rnacentral:rRNA from 1 species
AGUGAACGCUGGCGGUAGGCCUAACACAUGCAAGUCGAACGGCAGCACAGAGGAGCUUGCUCCUUGGGUGGCGAGUGGCGGACGGGUGAGGAAUACAUCGGAAUCUACUCUGUCGUGGGGGAUAACGUAGGGAAACUUACGCUAAUACCGCAUACGACCUACGGGUGAAAGCAGGGGAUCUUCGGACCUUGCGCGAUUGAAUGAGCGGAUGUCGGAUUAGCUAGUUGGCGGGGUAAAGGCCCACCAAGGCGACGAUCCGUAGCUGGUCUGAGAGGAUGAUCAGCCACACUGGAACUGAGACACGGUCCAGACUCCUACGGGAGGCAGCAGUGGGGAAUAUUGGACAAUGGGCGCAAGCCUGAUCCAGCCACACCGCGUGGGUGAAGAAGGCCUUCGGGUUGUAAAGCCCUUUUGUUGGGAAAGAAAUCCAUCUGGUUAAUACCCGGGUGGGAUGACGGUACCCAAAGAAUAAGCACCGGCCAACUUCGUGCCAGCCGCCGCGGUAA